CUAGUCGCUCUCUCUCCUCUUCUCCCUCUCCAUUUUUGAGUAAGUUUGCCUGUCAGCCAUGGCCUAUUUUUGCCAUGUCCUUUUCGUGCAACUUCUUGCUUUUCUUUGCAGCAGACUCGGACAAAUGAGGACACAGCCCUUAUCAUUUUACCAAGAAAUUUCCUGGAAACUCACCCGUUAUUAUCCCUUUCUCCCCAAGAAUACCCAUAUAUAUCACAUUUGCACGAUAUAACAGAGGGAGAACGGAGAGAAUAGGGCACAUUCCGAGAACACACGAAAAGGGGAUUGGGGGACGGAAAACAGAGAACGCAUGGAGGGACAAGAGGGAAAUCGGGUAGUUUUGAGCAAAAGGGGGUCCUCAUCAACCUUUUUUCUACAGUUUUCUUCUUCAUUAAGAGCAAAUGUUUAACCCCAAAAUAGUCCCAAAAUCUCCCGUGAAACAGUCCUAAAGAGCAGCAAAAUCAGCCACGAAAACCAGUCGAGCAACCAAACUCCGUCGAAGAUCCGGCGAGGCUUCUAUGUCGAGGCUCCGAUUCGUUGCUUUGGCGUUUCAGUCCGCCGAUCGUUGCUCCGUUCGGGCGGAUUGAGAUGUAAAUUUUCAGAUGGAAAUCAACCACAACAUCCUUGAAAUUAGCAUGGUCAUAGGAGCGCCCCACAAGUUGAAAAAAUGGUGGAAAAACAUCUGAUACAGAUGGAAUUAGGACACAUCUUGGAGCGCUGACCGCGUUGAUGAAUGUCCGAGGUGAUAGAGUGCUUACCAGGUUGUGGAUAGAAUUCUGGAAUCCAACCAAAGCGGUUUUCAAGUUUGUUGACUUUGAGCUAACACUAACGCUCGAGGAAGUUACCAACUUUACUGAGUUGCCAUGCUGUCGUGUCAUAGGUUUCUCUAUGUAUUGGGAUUGAAGAGAAACAUGGACCUAAAGAACGUCGAAGACGGGUGGAUAAGCCUAGACCAGUUGUUGAAUAGUUUGGGCAUCUAGAAAGCUAUAAUCUGCAUCAUGAAGAAUUUCAAUAUGAUAGGGAAACAUGGAGAACCUUCGCCCUUUGAUGUUCUCUUUGGCAUUGUUGGGACUUCUGUUGUUUUCACAGCAGAAAGGGCAGAUCAACAUUAAUGUGCUACCUCUAGUCUUGGCCACAUUUUGGGGGAAUUUGCGGGUCACUCUUGUCCCGAUGUUGUUGGCAGAAUUAUUCAAGGCAUUAUCAUCAUGUUCAAGGGGAUAUGACUUCUUUAAGGGUUGCAACCUGUUGUUGCAAAUAUGGGCUACAGAGCAUAUCUUUCAAAGAGAGCCGACCAUCGAUUACAUUGUCGGUACCAGCAAUAUGAUCCGCAAUCAUGAAGAGAGAAUGAGGCACUGUGCCUUUAAAACAGUGUUUUCGGAGAUCUGUUAUCCUUACUUUUGCCCCAAAGAAUAGUAUAAAGGCCUAACACAAUCACAAUAGCACUAAGUAUCCUGCCAAAAAAUGUACAUUUGUUUAGUUUUGGUUACAACUCUUAUAUGAGUUUUAGGAUUAAAAUUUUACCUUCCAAGGUUCAUUUAUUCAUGGAGAGGUAAUGUAAUGGUUACAACUACCAUAACCAUGUUUAAGAGAUUAAACGUUGUAAUAAAAAUAGGACCCCUAUUUUCAUUAUGAAUCCUUGUAUGUAAUACGUUAGUCAUGAACAACAUAUCCUCUGGGCUGUGACAUGGAAUGUAAGGAACUUUUAAUAGAUUUAACAUGUAGAAGCAAAGUUUUUCUUGAAAGAGAUGUUAGAAAAUAUUGAUCUUUUAACCUACUUACAUUGUACGCGACCGCAAGCAGUUUUGCAUCCCAAUGGAUGCUCCAUACUUCAGUCUUUCUUCUUUCCAUCACCGCUGCUACUAUACCUCCCACAAUUGUCCAAAGAAAGCAUAUCCAUAUCGUGAGGGAGAGCACGACAGGAUAGGUCCGCGAUGUGAUCGCCUAGGCAUAGAACAACACUAGAGUAAGAUUUUUUGCUUAUUCCUAAUAACUUAUCUGCAACUAAGUUCUAUCUUUACCAGCAAAAUUAUGAAGCCUGUCGAACUCAAGCACCCACUUAUUAGCACGAGGGAACCUUUAAUAAAAUAAUUUGAAUUUGGGUUUAUCCCACCACUUUGAGAUGUAUGAUUAGGCUUUCCUUUUGUCCAAAGUCCAAACACAGGGCUUUGUACCAGAAUCAUUAUCAGUACACCACCAAAUGUGGUAAUAGUGCCAAUUAGCUUGGCCAAGCUGCGGAGACUUUUAAGAUUCAUCGUCUCAGGCCUGAAUAAACAAAAUAUGUGCAAAAAGAAUUUAAAUUACAAUAAAUACUCAUUGAUACAUAGUGUAUUAAAAUGAUUAAAUUAGCCCAUGUAAUACAACAACACUAUAGAGAUCUUUAAUUCCAUAUUCUAGAUCUCAAAUAGCUAUGAAUGUAGUUGUAGCUGAGUUGCAGAAACAAGAAAUAUUAACUUAUAUUAACCAAGAGUGUAAAUCACUACAUAUGUAAUAUUACAUUGUAAUAGGUUUUUAAGUGUUUGAUUUGAAGCUACAAGAUGUGUAUUUGAAUGAGACAAGGAUAUAAUUUUUCUAGCAUAUCCAAGCCAUUAUUAAAGUAAUGGCAGGAAUAACGUUGCACAUUUCAGAUGCAAAAGUUGUUGUUGUAUCUUUCAAGCCUAGAGAGAAGAAAAUCUACCCGAUGACUGGCUUGUUGGUCAAGAGAAAGAUGUUUAAUUAAAUGUUGAUUACAUGGGAAAAAGAUUUUUUUUUUUGUGUUUGAGACUACUCGGUAUGCUAAGAGCUACAAUCUUAGCGAGUAUUGCGCGAUUCAUCUUUGGUCUUGUAUUCAUGUAAAAAGAUAUUCAGCUUGUCUGUUAGAUUUUGUAUUUUCUUUUUAUUGCUCAUAACUAGGCUAGAAUCAAAGUUCAAACAUGUUAAGUAAACAGUGAACAUAAGAAGAGAUGGAGGGAGAGAGAAACAUACUUGUCUAGAAAUAUCGCAAAAGGAGCAAUGACCAAAGUAGCCAUUACAUGUCGAUAGAAGGCAAAUACAUUAGCGCUUAACCCUUCAUUCAGAGCAACUUUUCAUAGGAUAUCGAAACAUGCUAGCACACAUUGCAGAAAGACUGCAACAAUGAAAGAUCUAGCUCUGUUGAAUUAAUUCCUCAUUUGGAUGAUUUCUGUUAUGCAAAGGUUUUCAGUGUUGGAAGCAGGAAGAGGAGAUGGCAGAUUUCUGUUAUGCAAUUGACACGACGACCAACUUCUCUAUAUAGAAGAGAAUCAAUUAUAGGAGAUAGGGGGAAGAAUGGGCUAGGGUGAUAAUACAAAAUCAGAAUCCGUUUGUGAUUUUGCUAAUAAAUAAAUUUCCUAUCUGUAAAAUCAUUAACGAAAGUAGCAGAGAAACAUAUGUUGAAAGCUUUAUAGAAAAUUUUCUCUGAAUGAGACAAGGGUAUAAUUUACCUACAUAUCCAGGCCUUUCAUCCAAAUGAGGAAUUCAUCCAACAACACUGAAAACCUUUACAGAAUAGAAAUCAUCCAAAUGAGGAAUUUAUUCAACAGAGUUAGACCUUUCAUUGUUGCAGUCUUUCUGCAAUGUGUGCUAGCAUGUUUCGAUGUCCUGUCGAAAGUUGCUCUGAAUGAAGGGUUAAGAGCCUAUGUGUUUGCCUUCUAUCGAUAUGCAGUGGCUACUUUGGUCCUUUCUCCUUUUGCGGUAUUUAUAGACAAGUAUUCUUCUUUCUCUUCCUCUCUUAUGUUCACUUAACAUGUUUGAACUUUAAUUCUAGCCUAGUUAUGAGUAGUAGAAAGAAAAUACAAAAACUAACAGAUAAGCUGAAUAUCUUUUCACAUGAAUACAAGACCAAAGAUGGCUCGUGCAAUAUUUACUAAGAUUAUAGCUCUUAGCAUAGUGGAGUAAGUCUCAAACAUAAAAUAUUAUUUUUUCCCCAUGCAAUCAGUAUUUAAUUAAAGAUCUUUCUCUUGACCAACAGACCAGUCAUCCGUUAUAUUUUCUUCUCUCUAGGCUUGAAAGAUACAAUAACUUUUGCAUCUGCAAUGUUAUUCCUAUCAUUACUUUAAUAAUGGGCUGGAUAUGCAAGUAAAUUAUACCCUUGUCUCAUUCAAAUACACACCUUGUAUCUCUAAAUCAAACACUUGAAAACCUAUUACAAUGAAAUAUUAUAUACGUAGUGAUUUACAUUCUUAGUUAGUAUUACUUAAUAGUUCAUAUUUCUACAACGUACAUUCAAAGCUAUUUGAGAUCUAGAAUAUGGAAUUAAAGAUCUUUAUAAUGUUGUUACAUUAUAUGGGCUAGUUAAUUCUUUUUAAUACACUGUGUAUUAAGGGGUACUUAUUGUAAUUUUAAAUUCUUUUUGUACAUAUUUUAUUUAUUCAGGCUUGAGACGCCAUUCCUUAGCCGGAAAGAUAUGUGGCCAUGAAAGAGGGAUGAAUCUUAAAAGUCCCUGCAGUCUGGCCAAGCUAAUUGGCACCAUUGCCACAUUUGGUGGUGUACUGAUAAAGAUUCUGGUACAAGGCCUUGUGUUUGAACUUUAAACAGAAGGAAAGCCUAAUCAUGCAUCUCAAAAUGGUGGGAUAAACUCAAAUUCAAAUAUUUUUAUUAAAGGUUCCCUCCUGCUAAUAAGUGGAUGCUUGAGUUCGACAAGCUUCAUAAUUUUACUAGUAAAGAUAGAACUUAGUUACAGAUAAGUUAUUAGGAAUAAGCCAAAAAUCUUACUCUAGUAUUGUUUUAUGCCUAGGCGAUCACAUCGCGGUCCUAUCCUGCCGGGCUCUCCCUCACGACAUGGAUAUGAUUUCUUGGGACAAUUAAGGGAGGUAUAGUAGCAGCGGUGAUGGAAAGAAAAAAGACUGUAGUAUGGAGCAUCCAUUGGGACGCAAAGCUUCUUGCGGUCAUGUACAGUGUAAGUAGGUUAAAAAAAUCAAUGUUUCCUAACAUCUCUUUCAAGAAAUAUUUUGCCUCUACAUGUUAAGUCUAUUAAAAGUUACUUACUUUUCAUGUCACAAUCCAGGGGAUAUGUUGUUCAGGACUAACGUAUUACAUACAAGGAUUCAUAAUGAAAUACAAUGGUCUAGUUUUCCUAACAGCGUUCACUCCCUUAAAUAUGGUUAUGGUAGUUGUAACCAGUACAUUACUUCUCCAUGAACAAAUGAACCUCAGAAGGAUGCUUGGUACUACUGUGAUUGUGUUAGGACUUUACACUGUUCUUUGGAUCAAAAGUAAGGAUAACAGAUCUCCGGCAACAGAGGAACUAGCACCAACAGAAGAGCCUGGAGGAGAUUUCGGGGCUUACAAAGAUUUCAUGGGAUCAUACGAUUGCCCUUAGAGAAUUGAAAUGGUACAUAAUGGAAAUCAGCCAACAACUCAAUAAUCUUCCCUGGAAUCUCCUCCUCUAGGUCUUCUUCAGGAUCUUCCUCAAAUUCUUCCUUGACAUCCUCAUUAUUGAUACUUAAUUUUGUCCUCAUAUUUUAUAAAGUAUCAUAUACUUUCAAAAUAUUAUUUUGCA